AUUGAACGCUGGCGGCAGGCCUAACACAUGCAAGUCGAGCGAGCGGCGGAUGGGUGAGUAAUGUAUGGGGACUGCCCGAUCGAGGGGGAUAACUACUGGAAACGGUAGCUAAUAACGCACAUUAUCGGAUAACACAUAUGGGAUUACCUAGUGGGUGAGGUAAUGGCCCACUUAGGCGACGAUCCCUAGCUGGUCUGAGAGGAUGAUCAGCCACAUAGGGACUGGGACACGGCCCAGACUCCUACGGAGGCAGCAGUGGGGAAUAUUGCAUAAUGGGCGCAAGCCUGAUGCAGCCAUGCCGCGUGUAUGAAGAAGGCCCUAGGGUUGUAAAGUACUUUCAGUAGGGAAGCGUUACCGACGGAAGAAGCACCGGCUAACUUCGUGCCAGCAGCCGCGGUAAUAC
rnacentral:rRNA from 1 species